UUUUUUUUUUUUUUUUUUUUUUUUUUUUUUUUUUUUUUC
rnacentral:ribozyme from 1 species